rnacentral:lncRNA from 1 species
CUCCCUUGAAAAUGGACAACCCUUCCUAAUAAAACCUGCAAACACUUCUGAAAAUUUAAAUCCAACCAUAAACUCCUGGAGCCUUCGUGCUCCCCAAAUCACAACAUCUCCCAAUUUAAUUUCUAACUUAAACAAGAAAAUCUCAUAGCCAACAGCCACAGUUCAGAGCAACUCUAUUUGAAAGGAAAUGAACUAGAAAUAUAAAAAUGAGCGGAAGCUACACUAUUGACUAUGCCUCUUCUCCAUAUACGUCCGACCUCAACUAUGCAAUCCUGCAAACUGGGCAUUUUUAAAACGAAGAGCCCAGGGGAAAACAUUUGAAAACGAAACGUUAGAGUGAGUGGACAAAAAUAAAUUAACGAAUAAAAUAUCUAAUGUUUCCCCAAAUCAAUUUCCAAGGAAAAUCGAAUACAUGCUGCAAGCGAUAAAACUUUUAUCUCAUAAAUAUCGAGUCUCUCAGGCUCUAUAAUAUAUGUAUGUAUUUACACACGUCCAUACUCCCUAUAUAAAUUCAUGGGUCUAUAUAGGGCUACUACGCUCGCGUCCAACGCUCACGUCACGCCUUAAUGCGGUGCUACACUACGCCAUUAAGGUGGACAGACGGGUGUAUAAAUAUGUGCCCAUACCCCCUAUAUGAAUUAAACACUCAUGUAGGGCUNNNNNNNNNNNNNNNNNNNNAUUUUUCGGUAACUCUCCAAGAGAAAUAAAAGCGUCAAAAUUAAAUGACGUCAAAACUCCAACAAUUUUAAAUGCUCAACCAAAACCAUAGCAUGCAUAUUAUUUAAAAUAAAAGUCCACUCACAGAAUGAGGCCUAAGCCUUCCAAUGCUCGGAAUACUCCUCGAGCGCCGCCUCCAACUAAUCACACUCUCUAGCCAAUCCCACGUCUGACGAUAAACAGAAGAAUAAAUUGGUCAGACCGGACUCCAAUAAUCAUUAACGAUUCGACUUCUUCCUAGUUUGACUAGGUUUACUGAGUUGACCAGGAUUGACCAAGUUUGACCAAUUGAUUUAUGAUUAGCCAACUAACGAAGCCUCAACAAUUUCCAUUUUAACCUUCGACUUAACAAAUCGGGUUACCUUGAUUACUCUACCAUCCAAUUUAAUUCCAACAACCAUCUUAAUAAUUCAAUUACAAUUGAUUCUUCAUCCAAACAAUCCUCAAUCACUCUCUCUCUAUACAACUUCACACCAUAAAUCACUAAGGGCACCCAAAAUGGGUUUCCAUAAAUAGAAAGUUUUCAAAAAAGGGAAAGUUUCCCCAAAAUAGGAACUUUCCUCACUUAGAAAGAUUUCCGAUUAUAAACCGACAAACUUUCCUAUUUAUGAAACAACGCAAAACAAAAAGGAAAACUUCAAUAACUACCUCAACUGCUCUUGUCGGACUAACUGCCUUCGUCGGAUUCCGACGACUUGUCGGAAUAUUCUGCCGGAUUCCGGCCACUUGCCGGAAAAUUGGCCAUAGUCUCCCUGCAUCUUCUAAUCUCCAAGUUAUCGACAAUCAUGCAGAAAAUAAACGAUUCAAACACCAACCAACCGAAACCACACAACAACAACAACACCAAAGAUCAAGACUUACCACUCAC